rnacentral:rRNA from 1 species
UACAGAGGUCUCAAGCGUUGUUCGGAUUCAUUGGGCGUAAAGGGUGCGUAGGUGGCGAAGCAAGUCUAACGUGAAAUCUCGGGGCUUAACCCCGAAAUUGCGUCGGAUACUGCUUUGCUCGAGGAUUGUAGAGGAGAGUGGAAUUCACGGUGUAGCAGUGAAAUGCGUAGAUAUCGUGAGGAAGACCAGUUGCGAAGGCGACUCUCUGGGCAAUUCCUGACACUGAGGCACGAAGGCCAGGGGAGCAAACGGG